rnacentral:tRNA from 1 species
GAGGGCUUAGCUCAGUGGCAGAGUGUCUGUUUAGCAUGCAUGAGGUUCUGGGUUCAAUCCCCAGUACCUCCA